rnacentral:lncRNA from 1 species
CCUUCAUGACAAAUUGAGGUCUUUGAUGGAAUGAUUAUAGAUUCUUUAAUAAGAGGCUAAAUAUUCAAGUUGAAUGCUCCAAUUCUAAGUCAAGUUGAUUUUGUCAAGUCUAUUACAUCAUCAAUUUGAAGCAUUCAAGCCCACUAGGUCUUAAAGUUACAGUAUUCAAGUGCGCCAAGUCAUCAAAUCCAUAAAGUAUUAAAAACAAAGAAGCUCACUCGUUAAAACUACAGAAUGACUUGAUCCUCUUCACCGAGAUUGGUAUCUUCAAGACAAUUAUAGUCUUUAGUAGGCUGCAAAGUUUUCAAGAAUGUCAAAUCUUUUAGCUGAAUUAUUCAAGUUUGCCAAGUCACCAAGUUGAAUUCUUCAUAUUUUCUAUAUCAUUGAUUUGAAAUCUCAGAAUGCUAAAUCUUCAAGUUGAAGUUGAGUUAAAUUCUUCUAGUCCGCUAACUUCAACUAUCCAAGUCCGCCACGUCUUCAAGUUAAAUUCUUCGAAGUGGCUACAUCUUUAAGUUUAACUCUUAUACUUUAACCUUCAAGUUGAAUCAUCAAAUUAAAGUCUUCAAGUCGAAGUCUUCAAAUUUAUCAAGUCUUCAAGUCUGUCAUGUCUUCAAGUUGAAAUGUGUAAGUUUAAUUCUUCCAAGCACCAAUUCUUCAAUUGAAAGCCAAUAAGAAGCCCCCAUAAUAGUCUUGAAGUCUUCAAAUUGAUAAAACCUUCAAUUCUUUAGUUAGAAGCUUCGGUAUAACUCCAAGUAUAUGGAAAAAGCCUUUGAUAUAGUCUGCACCAUUUUUAAAUAUUUAUAUCUUGAAUUAUUUGACGGAAGGUUUUAAUAUAUCUUCAAAUCUUAAACUGGAAGUAAUUGAAAUGUUGGCUUGCAUGACUUGAUUUAUGUUGCAGAAAAUAAGAUUCUUCGACUGUGAGGUUAUCUUAACUAAAGUAGUAUCUUUGGAAUUGAUUUUUUUUCUUUUACUUGCAAAAAAAAGGAGAAACAUAUCUAUAUAAAGGAGAUCAUAAAAUUACCUAUGAAGAUUGAAGUUGAAGAGAUAUUCUUGGUGGUCAGCUUUUUGAAAAAAAUAAAUCAUGCUUCAUACAAUCUCUGAUUCAUGUAUCUCGAAAUGAGUACGAGUUUUCAUUCCUUUGCACCAAAAGGUCAAAUCUUUUGGUGGUGAAGUAAAAUCUUCAAGUUAGACUGUAUAAUAGACUUUGCUGGUCUUCGUCUUGGACAAAAUAUAGUCUUCAGCUUAGACAGUGUAAUGGUAUUAUCCUCGGACAAAGUAAAGUCUUCAGCCUAGAGAGUUCUCUUCGCCUUGGAUAAAGUAUAGUCUUCAUCUUAGACGGUGUAAUGGUCUCAGCCUCGGACAAAGUAAAGUCUUCAGCUUGGAUGGUUGUCUUCGCCUUUGCAAAAUAAAUCUUUGGCUCAGACGGUGUAAUGGUCUUUGCCUCAGAUAAAAAGUAAAGUCUUUGGCUUAGAUGAUGUUAUGGUCUUUGCCAUAGAUAAAGAAAGUCAAGUUUUCAAAUAAAAUGAAGUCUUUAGCUCAGAUGGUGUAAUGGUCUUCGCUUCAGACAAAAUAAAUCUUUGGCUCAGACGGUGUAAUGGUCUUUGCCUCAAAUAAAAAUAAAGUCUUUGACUUAGAUGAUGUAAUGGUCUUUGCCAUAGAUAAAGAAAGUCAAGUUUUCAAAUAAAAUGAAGUCUUUGGUUAAUACGGUGUAAUGGUCUAUGCCUCAGAUAAGUUUAAUCUUCAAACAAGAUGAAGUCAUUAGCUUAGACGGUGUAAUUGUCUUUGCUUCACAUAAAAUGAAGUCUUUAGCUCAGACAGUGUGAUGGUCUUCACUUCAGACAAUAAAUCUUUGGCUUAGACAGUGUAAUGAUCUUUGCCUAAGAUAAAGUAAAAUCUUUAGCUUAGACGGUGUAAUGGUCUAUGCCUAAGAUAAAAUAAAGUUAAAUCUUCAAACAAGAUAAAGUCAAUUUCUUGACGUGUAAUGAUCUUCAUCUAAGACAAAGUAAAUAUUUGGCUCAGACAGUAUAAUGAUCUUCACCUCGGAUGAAGUAAAGUCUUCAGCUUAGACAAUGUGAUAAUUUUCGAAUAGGACAAAGUUAAGUCUUUAAGUUAGAUGGUGUAAUAGUCUUCACAUAUAUCAGGCAAUGUAUAGUCUUCGACUUAAAUGGUGUAAUGAUCUUUAUCUCGGACGUUGUAAAUUCUUCUACUUGAGACAUCGCAAAAUUUUGGCCUUGGCCAAGGUAAAAUAAUUUUAGCCUCAAACGGGAUGAAGUAAUUCAAAGAACUUAUAUAAUAACUAUUGUUUCCUCCUUUGAACCUGAAAAGAAAUGGCAACAAAGAGAGAACAAAAGAAAUACAAGAGAUGGGAAGGGAUUAAAUUCCUUUCCAAAUUUCAAAGAUAAAUGCAGCAUGCAAAAGUGAAACAAAUUCCACCAAAGAAGCUUCCCGCAAACAACAAUGAAAGGGAAAAUCCAUACAAGACAAUAGAGAAAUCAAGAAGUCUUACAUGGAAAACUAAUAAAUAAAUUUUCCUAGUUCAAAGGAGUGAACCUGCAAAUUGUGAAGUUGAACUCAAGCUUAUGACAUCGUCAAGGAAAAAAAAUGACAGUGAGUAGAACCCGUAGAAAGAUUGGGAUGGGCUAUGAGUUUGAAGGGACUCGACUCUUAUAUAUAUAGAUGCCCAAAGGAGUUC